GAUGAAGAACGUAGCGAAAUGCGAUAAGUAAUGUGAAUUGCAGAAUUCAGUGAAUCAUCGAAUCUUUGAACGCACAUUGCGCCCGCCAGUAUUCUGGCGGGCAUGCCUGUUCGAGCGUCAUUACAACCCUCAGGCCCCCGGGCCUGGCGUUGGGGAUCGGCGGAGCCCCCCGUGGGCACACGCCGUCCCCCAAAUACAGUGGCGGUCCCGCCGCAGCUUCCAUCGCGUAGUAGCUAACACCUCGCGACUGGAGAGCGGCGCGGCCACGCCGUAAAACACCCAACUCUUCUGAAGUUGACCUCGAAUCAGGUAGGAAUACCCGCUGAACUUAAGCAUAUCAAUAAACGGAGGA
rnacentral:misc_RNA from 1 species